rnacentral:rRNA from 1 species
UACGUAGGGUGCAAGCGUUGUCCGGAAUUAUUGGGCGUAAAGAGCUCGUAGGCGGUCUGUCGCGUCGGCUGUGAAAACCCGGAGCUCAACUCCGGGCCUGCAGUCGAUACGGGCAAACUGGAGUACUGCAGGGGAGACUGGAAUUCCUGGUGUAGCGGUGAAAUGCGCAGAUAUCAGGAGGAACACCGGUGGCGAAAGGCGGGGUCUCUGGGCGAGUAACUGACGCUGGAG